CCUACGGGACGCAGCAGUGGGGAAUAUUGCACAAUGGGGGAGACCCUGAUGCAGCAACGCCGCGUGAGUGAAGAAGUAUUUCGGUACGUAAAGCUCUAUCAGCAGGAAAGAAAAUGACGGUACCUGACUAAGAAGCCCCGGCUAACUACGUGCCAGCAGCCGCGGUAAUACGUAGGGGGCAAGCGUUAUCCGGAUUUACUGGGUGUAAAGGGAGCGUAGACGGCAGCGCAAGUCUGGAGUGAAAUGCCGGGGCCCAACCCCGGAACUGCUCUGGAAACUGGGAAGCUGGAGUGCAGGAGAGGUAG
rnacentral:rRNA from 1 species